rnacentral:rRNA from 1 species
UACGUAGGCAGCAAGCGUUGUUCGGAGUUACUGGGCGUAAAGGGUGUGUAGGCGGUUGCUUAAAGUUUGGGUGUGAAAUCUCCCGGCUCAACCGGGAGGGUGCGCCGAAUACUGAGUGACUAGAGUGCGGGAGAGGAAAGUGGAAUUCCUGGUGGUAGCGGUGAAAUGCGUAGAUAUCAGGAGGAACACCGGUGGUGUAGACGGCUUCUGGACCGUAACUGACGCUGAGACACGAAAGCGUGGGUAGCAAACAGG